rnacentral:rRNA from 1 species
CUUGGAAACGGGUGGUAAUGCUGGAUGCUCCAACUUGACGCAUGUCUUGUUGGGAAAGUGUUUAGUGGCAUGGGAUGGGGUCGCGUCCUAUCAGCUUGUAGCGGGGUAAUGGCCCCCACCCUAGGCUUCGACGGGUAGCCGGCCUGAGAGGGCGGACGGCCACAUUGGGACUGAGAUACGGCCCAGACUCCUACGGGGAGGCAGCAGUGGGGAAUAUUGCGCAAUGGGGGAAACCCUGACGCAGCGACGCCGCGUGCGGGAUGAAGGCCUUCGGGUUGUAAACCGCUUUUGAUUGGGAGCAAGCCUUUUGGGUGAGUGUACCUUUCGAAUAAGCGCCGGCUAACUACGUGCCAGCAGCCGCGGUAAU